rnacentral:rRNA from 1 species
UACGGGGGGUGCAAGCGUUGUUCGGAAUUACUGGGCGUAAAGGGCGCGUAGGCGGGUGGACAAGUCUCUCGUGAAAGCCCACGGCUCAACCGUGGAAUUGCGGGAGAUACUGUCUGUCUUGAGUCCGGGAGAGGAGGGGUGAAUUCCCAGUGUAGCGGUGAAAUGCGUAGAUAUUGGGAGGAACACCGGUGGCGAAGGCGGCUCUCUGGACCGGUACUGACGCUGAGGCGCGAAAGCUAGGGGAGCAAACGGG